rnacentral:rRNA from 1 species
AUGCGCUUGACCUGCGCGGUGGGCGUCUUCCCCAUGAAGCUGUCGGUGGUGAUGACCGCCAGGUGGUCGCCGAUGGCGAAGUCGACGGAGCGCGCGGAGGCGUCGAACCUGAAGGUGAAGAGCUCCCUCCCCGUCUGGACGUCCCAGAGCUUGGCGGUCUGGUCGGCGCUCCCGGUGAUGAGGCGCGUGGAGUGGCGGGAGACGUCGCAGGACCACACGGCGCCGUUGUGGCCGCGGUAG